GAAACGGUAGCUAAUACCGCAUAACGUCGCAAGACCAAAGAGGGGGACCUUCGGGCCUCUUGCCAUCGGAUGUGCCCAGAUGGGAUUAGCUAGUUGGUGAGGUAACGGCUCACCAAGGCGACGAUCCCUAGCUGGUCUGAGAGGAUGACCAGCCACACUGGAACUGAGACACGGUCCAGACUCCUACGGGAGGCAGCAGUGGGGAAUAUUGCACAAUGGGCGCAAGCCUGAUGCAGCCAUGCCGCGUGUAUGAAGAAGGCCUUCGGGUUGUAAAGUACUUUCAGCGGGGAGGAAGGGAGUAAAGUUAAUACCUUUGCUCAUUGACGUUACCCGCAGAAGAAGCACCGGCUAACUCCGUGCCAGCAGCCGCGGUAAUACGGAGGGUGCAAGCGUUAAUCGGAAUUACUGGGC
rnacentral:rRNA from 1 species